rnacentral:rRNA from 1 species
GAACCUUCGGGUUAGUGGCGGACGGGUGAGUAACGCGUGAGAAUCUGCCCUCAGGAGGGGGAUAACGGCUGGAAACGGCCGCUAAUACCCCAUAUGCCGAGAGGUGAAAUGAAUUUCGCCUGAGGAUGAGCUCGCGUCUGAUUAGCUAGUUGGUGUGGUAAAGGCUCACCAAGGCAUCGAUCAGUAGCUGGUCUGAGAGGAUGAUCAGCCACACUGGGACUGAGACACGGCCCAGACUCCUACGGGAGGCAGCAGUGGGGAAUUUUCCGCAAUGGGCGCAAGCCUGACGGAGCAACGCCCCGUGAGGGAUGAAGGCCUCUGGGCUGUAAACCUCUUUUAUCAAGGAAGAAGAUCUGACGGUACUUGAUGAAUAAGCCACGGCUAAUUCCGUGCCAGCAGCCGCGGUAAUACGGGAGUGGCAAGCGUUAUCCGGAAUUAUUGGGCGUAAAGCGUCCCCAGGCGGUUUUACAAGUCUGUCGUUAAAACGUGGAGCUCAACUCCAUUUCGGCGAUGGAAACCUGUAAAAACUAAAAUGUGGUAGGGGCAAAGGGAAAUCCCCGUGUACCGGGGAAAUGCGUAAAAUUUCGGGAAAAAAACCAAUGGGGGAGGCGCUCUGCUGGGGCCUAAAUGAGCCUCCUGGACAAAAGCCCGGGGAGGGGAAAGGAAUUAAAUACCCCUGGUAGUCCGGGGCCGAAAACAAUAAAAACUAAGGGGCCGGGGGGAAACAACCCCCUCCGGGUGUGUAGCCCAAGCGUUAA